rnacentral:lncRNA from 1 species
GAGGUCGCAAAGAGUCAGACACAACUGAGCGACUGAACUGAACUGAACUAGAAAUAAAUAAACAGUAAAUUUCAGGAGUUUUUUUACCUUCUUUAUUCUCUGGAGACUAGCUGUUGUCAUGCGUUAUGAAAAGAGCAUACAUCAGAAAGCAAGAAAACUCCUUAGAAAUCAUCUGACCCAACACCCUCAUUUGAUAGAUGACAAAGAAAUACCCAGAAAGUCAUAUACCAAAGUCAUUCAAGCUUUUUAGGGCUUCGCCGGCCUAAGGCAUCUUUCCCUACAUUCACUCUACGGAUUGUCUUCUGUCAUGUCCCUUCCCACAUGCCAUUAUUCUCUCACUCUCCUCUAACUUCAAAAGGUCAGACUGAAAACCAGGAAGAGAAAAAUGCUAAGAUCAAGAUCUCAUCUAGAAAAAAAACACACAUAAUUUUGUCCUGAUAUUUCCAGAUUUGGGGUUUUUGAUGAGAAAUAGCCACUCUUGUUGAAAGGAUGCAAAUAAGCAUCUGCAAAGAAUUCCGUUUAACACGGUCAACAUUUUAAAACCUUGGCUAACUUGGAUGCCAGUCCUCUAGAAUGCUCAGCAAUAUGGAAUGAUACUAAAUCCAGUACUAUGUAGACUAAAGUAAAAACUUAGGGGGAAAAUCUUCUCAACAGAGAAGAUUAGAGAAUUCACAACUAGGUUGUUUCAUAACAAAAUGGAUUUCCUUUUUAAUAGAGUAGAAAUUAAGUAUUUGGGGAGGAAAAAAAGCAGUUCUUAAGUAUUCAAUAACAAAUGAGCACAGCUGAGGAAACCCAAAGACCAAAAGGCAAGAAACAAUACAAUGGUAUCAGUCACUUCUUUGCACGGGGAGGUGGGGGGCGGUGGGGGGAAGAAGUAAUGUUUAUGAAAUAUCAAGACUUUGAAGAAUCAAAAGCCAAGAAUGUGCGUGCUACCAAUCACAACGAAAUAUUAAGUGUUUUCUGCUCUUUUUGAGGAUAUGGAGUAAUUAUAAAUGAAUUUUUUAAAGGACUUCCAUUUGUAAGUUGAAAGGAAUUCUGAGGCAUAAAUUCAGUUAACCUAAAACCUGAAUUUGUUUUCAGAUAGCUGUAGGAAUACACCAACAGUCAGACCCACACAUAGAAAUACAUUGAAG